rnacentral:misc_RNA from 1 species
AGGGCAAGCACAUCUCAAAGGAACAUGGAUAUCCAAACCUGCAUAUAAAUUAUACAUAUCAUAAGGGUUUUGCUCCCUCAAUGCCUGGCAGGUGGUGAGACCCUGGUAGGUAUCAUUGGCCAAUGUAAAAUAGUUCUCAUUCUCAUCUUUGAGCCGGUAAGUGGCAUUGUGCUAGUAAUAAAGGCCUUUGUAACAAGAGCAAUUGACAGGGACUACCACUUGCUUCUGGGCAGGAAUUUUGGCCACAUCAGAAGAG